GUUUGCUACAGUGGUGAUUAGAGGUCUCUUAGAGACUGGCACACUAGGCAGCCACCUGGUUGGCCUCCCCUUCAUUCAGUCAGCUCUGCCAUUCAGCUUUCUUCCAGCCUCUGCACAUUACCUGUCCUAGUUCUUGUUUUAUUGUACUGCCACUCAACUUUUCUGAAUCUCCCACUUGGCUGUGUCUCUGUACCUGCUAAAUCAACACAGUUCCUGGCAUACAGGUGCAUUUCAGUGCAUGCUGGUGAGACAGCGAAGGGCUUGAAACAGUCCACAAAAGUUGAUGCAGGAGAGCAGUACAAUCCUUUCUGGAGUGGGACUCAGAGAAAGAUCAUGCAUGUUGAAGUCAUUCCAGCAGCAGUCCAGGGGAGUUGGGGCAGGUAAGAUGGGAUAAGUGCACUCCAACCAUCAUUUCUGUUGGUCAUAACUCCAGGAGAGAAAGUUUAGAACAGCUAUUUGAGGACGGUGAAAAGAAAACAGCAGAAGGAAUAUUGGUGAAGAACACAGAAUUUGAAGUACAUCAAACCAGUAGGCUCACUUCCAAGCCAUACAUGUUUGGAUCUGGUUUUAAUGAGGAUACCAAGACCUUUGAGAACUGAAGUAAUAGAGAGGUCAUCACCUGGUUCCUAGACUGGCUUCUGGGUGGUGCACACCUGAAAUGGAGACAAAAAGCAGUUUGAAAACUGAGUGGAUGUUGACAUCACAGCGCACAGAAGGUAAAUGCAGAGAUUUCAGACUACAAAGUGACCUUCAUAGGCCAAUGGUGUUUCUGGAAACCUGUGAGCAGAAAAAGGACUUCCACUCUGAGGGGUGGCAGCAUAGUCACUUGGCUGGGGCAACUGGUCUCUUUGGCAAUAACUGCUUAUCAGAGAGGUUCCCAUGGCAUCCAGGCCCUGCAGGAUGCUGUUGAGACCCUGUCAGGUGAGAACAAAAUGGCAGUAGUGUGGCCCAGGCUCCCAUACUGAGGACGGAAGGCACCAGAAGACAGUAGACACUGGUCCAAAACCUAGAGGUGUGCACAGCAGAUGGAAAACUACUUUCUGCCAGCAGAGGUGACAUUUUCAGGGGGCUUCAUGGCUUUAGUGAGAGAGAACCAA
rnacentral:lncRNA from 10 species